rnacentral:rRNA from 1 species
CUGCGUACCUUUUGUAUAAUGGGUCAGCGACUUAUAUUCUGUAGCAAGGUUAACCGAAUAGGGGAGCCGGAGGGAAACCGAGUCUUAAUUGGGCGUUAAGUUGCAGGGUAUAGACCCGAAACCCGGUGAUCUAGCCAUGGGCAGGUUGAAGGUUGGGUAACACUAACUGGAGGACCGAACCGACUAAUGUUGAAAAAUUAGCGGAUGACCUGUGGCUGGGGGUGAAAGGCCAAUCAAACCGGGAGAUAGCUGGUUCUCCCCGAAAGCUAUUUAGGUAGCGCCUCGUGAAUUCAUCUCCGGGGGUAGAGCACUGUUUCGGCUAGGGGGCCAUCCCGGCUUACCAACCCGAUGCAAACUGCGAAUACCGGAGAAUGUUAUCACGGGAGACACACGGCGGGUGCUAACGUCCGUCGUGAAGAGGGAAACAACCCAGACCGCCAGCUAAGGUCCCAAAGUCAUGGUUAAGUGGGAAACGAUGUGGGAAGGCCCAGACAGCCAGGAUGUUGGCUUAGAAGCAGCCAUCAUUUAAAGAAAGCGUAAUAGCUCACUGGUCGAGUCGGCCUGCGCGGAAGAUGUAACGGGGCUAAACCAUGCACCGAAGCUGCGGCAGCGACACUGUGUGUUGUUGGGUAGGGGAGCGUUCUGUAAGCCUGUGAAGGUGUGUCGUGAGGCAUGCUGGAGGUAUCAGAAGUGCGAAUGCUGACAUAAGUAACGAUAAAGCGGGUGAAAAGCCCGCUCGCCGGAAGACCAAGGGUUCCUGUCCAACGUUAAUCGGGGCAGGGUGAGUCGACCCCUAAGGCGAGGCCGAAAGGCGUAGUCGAUGGGAAACGGGUUAAUAUUCCCGUACUUGGUGUUACUGCGAAGGGGGGACGGAGAAGGCUAUGUUGGCCGGGCGACGGUUGUCCCGGUUUAAGCGUGUAGGUGUGUGUUCCAGGUAAAUCCGGUUCACUUUAACACUGAGGCGUGACGACGAGGCACUACGGUGCUGAAGCAACAAAUGCCCUGCUUCCAGGAAAAGCCUCUAAGCAUCAGGUAACAUCAAAUCGUACCCCAAACCGACACAGGUGGUCAGGUAGAGAAUACCAAGGCGCUUGAGAGAACUCGGGUGAAGGAACUAGGCAAAAUGGUGCCGUAACUUCGGGAGAAGGCACGCUGACACGUAGGUGAAGUGAUUUACUCAUGGAGCUGAAGUCAGUCGAAGAUACCAGCUGGCUGCAACUGUUUAUUAAAAACACAGCACUGUGCAAACACGAAAGUGGACGUAUACGGUGUGACGCCUGCCCGGUGCCGGAAGGUUAAUUGAUGGGGUCAGCGCAAGCGAAGCUCCUGAUCGAAGCCCCGGUAAACGGCGGCCGUAACUAUAACGGUCCUAAGGUAGCGAAAUUCCUUGUCGGGUAAGUUCCGACCUGCACGAAUGGCGUAAUGAUGGCCAGGCUGUCUCCACCCGAGACUCAGUGAAAUUGAACUCGCUGUGAAGAUGCAGUGUACCCGCGGCAAGACGGAAAGACCCCGUGAACCUUUACUAUAGCUUGACACUGAACAUUGAGCCUUGAUGUGUAG